UAGUUGGAUUUCUGGGUGGAGCGACCGGUCCGCCGCUGUGCGGUGUGUACUUGUGUACGACUCGACUCAUCCUUGUGGGGAAGCGUCUUCCGGCAUUCAGUUGUCGGGGCGGGGAACCGCAUCAUUUACUGUGAAAAAAUUAGAGUGUUUAAAGCAGGCAAAUCGCUGUGAAUACAUUAGCAUGGAAUAAUAACAUAGGACUUUGGUUCUAUUUUGUUGGUUGGAGGCCAAGGUAAUGAUUAAUAGGGACAGUUGGGGGUAUUCAUAUUUAAUUGUCAGAGGUGAAAUUCUUGGAUUUAUGAAAGAUGAACUCAUGCGAAAGCAUUUACCAAGGAUGUUUUCAUUAAUCAAGAACGAAAGUUAGGGGAUCGAAGAGGAUUAGAUACCCUCGUAGUCUUAACCAUAAACUAUGCCGACUAGGGAUCGGAGGGCGUAUUUUUAAUGGCCCCUUCGGCACCUUAC
rnacentral:rRNA from 1 species